GUAGCUAAGCCCUCCAGCGCCGAUGGUACUGCACUCGGGAGGGUGUGGGAGAGUAGGACGCCGCCGGAC
rnacentral:rRNA from 1 species